rnacentral:rRNA from 1 species
GGUUAAGCGACUAAGCGUACACGGUGGAUGCCCUGGCAGUCAGAGGCGAUGAAGGACGUGCUAAUCUGCGAAAAGCGUCGGUAAGGUGAUAUGAACCGUUAUAACCGGCGAUGUCCGAAUGGGGAAACCCAGUGUGAUUCGUCACACUAUCGUUAACUGAAUACAUAGGUUAACGAGGCGAACCGGGGGAACUGAAACAUCUAAGUACCCCGAGGAAAAGAAAUCAACCGAGAUUCCCCCAGUAGCGGCGAGCGAACGGGGAGCAGCCCAGAGUCUGAAUCAGCUUGUGUGUUAGUGGAACGGUCUGGAAAGUCCGACGGUACAGGGUGAUAGUCCCGUACACCAAAAUGCACAGGCUGUGAACUCGAAGAGUAGGGCGGGACACGUGGUAUCCUGUCUGAAUAUGGGGGGACCAUCCUCCAAGGCUAAAUACUCCUGACUGACCGAUAGUGAACCAGUACCGUGAGGGAAAGGCGAAAAGAACCCCGGCGAGGGGAGUGAAAAAGAACCUGAAACCGUGUACGUACAAGCAGUGGGAGCACCUUCGGGUGUGACUGCGUACCUUUUGUAUAAUGGGUCAGCGACUUAUAUUCUGUAGCAAGGUUAACCGUAUAGGGGAGCCGCAGGGAAACCGAGUCUUAACUGGGCGUUAAGUUGCAGGGUAUAGACCCGAAACCCGGUGAUCUAGCCAUGGGCAGGUUGAAGGUUGGGUAACACUAACUGGAGGACCGAACCGACUAAUGUUGAAAAAUUAGCGGAUGACUUGUGGCUGGGGGUGAAAGGCCAAUCAAACCGGGAGAUAGCUGGUUCUCCCCGAAAGCUAUUUAGGUAGCGCCUCGUGAAUUCAUCUUCGGGGGUAGAGCACUGUUUCGGCUAGGGGGUCAUCCCGACUUACCAACCCGAUGCAAACUACGAAUACCGAAGAAUGUUAUCACGGGAGACACACGGCGGGUGCUAACGUCCGUCGUGAAGAGGGAAACAACCCAGACCGCCAGCUAAGGUCCCAAAGUCAUGGUUAAGUGGGAAACGAUGUGGGAAGGCACAGACAGCCAGGAUGUUGGCUUAGAAGCAGCCAUCAUUUAAAGAAAGCGUAAUAGCUCACUGGUCGAGUCGGCCUGCGCGGAAGAUGUAACGGGGCUAAACCAUGCACCGAAGCUGCGGCAGCGACACUAUGUGUUGUUGGGUAGGGGAGCGUUCUGUAAGCCUGCGAAGGUGACCUGUGAGGGUUGCUGGAGGUAUCAGAAGUGCGAAUGCUGACAUAAGUAACGAUAAAGCGGGUGAAAAGCCCGCUCGCCGGAAGACCAAGGGUUCCUGUCCAACGUUAAUCGGGGCAGGGUGAGUCGACCCCUAAGGCGAGGCCGAAAGGCGUAGUCGAUGGGAAACAGGUUAAUAUUCCUGUACUUGGUGUUACUGCGAAGGGGGGACGGAGAAGGCUAUGUUAGCCGGGCGACGGUUGUCCCGGUUUAAGCAUGUAGGCUGGUUGUCCAGGCAAAUCCGGAUAAUCAAGGCUGAGGUGUGAUGACGAGGCACUACGGUGCUGAAGUAACAAAUGCCCUGCUUCCAGGAAAAGCCUCUAAGCAUCAGGUAACAUCAAAUCGUACCCCAAACCGACACAGGUGGUCAGGUAGAGAAUACCAAGGCGCUUGAGAGAACUCGGGUGAAGGAACUAGGCAAAAUGGUGCCGUAACUUCGGGAGAAGGCACGCUGGUGUGUAGGUGAAGUCCCUGCGGAUGGAGCUGAGACCAGUCGAAGAUACCAGCUGGCUGCAACUGUUUAUUAAAAACACAGCACUGUGCAAACACGAAAGUGGACGUAUACGGUGUGACGCCUGCCCGGUGCCGGAAGGUUAAUUGAUGGGGUUAUCCGUAAGGAGAAGCUCUUGAUCGAAGCCCCGGUAAACGGCGGCCGUAACUAUAACGGUCCUAAGGUAGCGAAAUUCCUUGUCGGGUAAGUUCCGACCUGCACGAAUGGCGUAAUGAUGGCCAGGCUGUCUCCACCCGAGACUCAGUGAAAUUGAACUCGCUGUGAAGAUGCAGUGUACCCGCGGCAAGACGGAAAGACCCCGUGAACCUUUACUAUAGCUUGACACUGAACAUUGAGCCUUGAUGUGUAGGAUAGGUGGGAGGCUUUGAAGCGUGGACGCCAGUCUGCGUGGAGCCAACCUUGAAAUACCACCCUUUAAUGUUUGAUGUUCUAACGUUGGCCCCUUAUCGGGGUUGCGGACAGUGUCUGGUGGGUAGUUUGACUGGGGCGGUCUCCUCCCAAAGCGUAACGGAGGAGCACGAAGGUUAGCUAAUCCUGGUCGGACAUCAGGAGGUUAGUGCAAUGGCAUAAGCUAGCUUGACUGCGAGCGUGACGGCGCGAGCAGGUGCGAAAGCAGGUCAUAGUGAUCCGGUGGUUCUGAAUGGAAGGGCCAUCGCUCAACGGAUAAAAGGUACUCCGGGGAUAACAGGCUGAUACCGCCCAAGAGUUCAUAUCGACGGCGGUGUUUGGCACCUCGAUGUCGGCUCAUCACAUCCUGGGGCUGAAGUAGGUCCCAAGGGUAUGGCUGUUCGCCAUUUAAAGUGGUACGCGAGCUGGGUUUAGAACGUCGUGAGACAGUUCGGUCCCUAUCUGCCGUGGGCGCUGGAGAAUUGAGGGGGGCUGCUCCUAGUACGAGAGGACCGGAGUGGACGCAUCACUGGUGUUCGGGUUGUCAUGCCAAUGGCACUGCCCGGUAGCUAAAUGCGGAAGAGAUAAGUGCUGAAAGCAUCUAAGCACGAAACUUGCCCCGAGAUGAGUUCUCCCUGAGACUUUAAGUCUCCUGAAGGAACGUUGAAGACGACGACGUUGAUAGGCCGGGUGUGUAAGCGCAGCGAUGCGUUGAGCUAACCGGUACUAAUGAACCGUGAGGCUUAACCUU